rnacentral:rRNA from 1 species
UACGUAGGGUGCAAGCGUUGUCCGGAAUUAUUGGGCGUAAAGAGCUCGUAGGCGGUCUGUCGCGUCUGCUGUGAAACUCAGGCUUAACCCUGAGCUUGCAGUGGGUACGGGCAGACUAGAGUGCGGUAGGGGAGACUGGAAUUCCUGGUGUAGCGGUGAAAUGCGCAGAUAUCAGGAGGAACACCGGUGGCGAAGGCGGGUCUCUGGGCCGAUACUGACGCUGGAGGAGCGAAAGCGUGGGAGCGAACAGG